ensembl:rRNA 5S_rRNA 5S ribosomal RNA
GUCUACGGCCAUACACUCCGAACGCACCCAAUCUUGUCUGACCUCAGAAGCUCCGCAGGGUGGGACCUCAUUAGUACUUGGAUGGGAAACUGCCUGGGAAUACAAGACGCUGUAGGCC